rnacentral:sRNA from 1 species
AAACCCGGAAGCAGGGGAGGAACUUCGGAGCGGUCUCCCGGGUUACCGGGAGGCGGAGCCGCCGAGCCCGCUGUGGCCCGGAUGUUCGGUGCAGCUGCCAGAUCUGCUGAUCUAGUGCUUCUCGAAAAAAACCUUCAGGCGGCCCAUGGGUAUGCCCAAGAGGACAGAGAACGAAUGCACAGAAAUAUUGUCAGCCUUGCACAGAAUCUCCUGAACUUUAUGAUUGGCUCUAUCUUGGAUUUAUGGCAAUGCUUCCUCUGGUUUUACAUUGGUUCUUCAUUGAAUGGUACUCGGGGAAAAAGAGUUCCAGCGCACUUUUCCAACACAUCACUGCAUUAUUUGAAUGCAGCAUGGCAGCUAUUAUCACCUUACUUGUGAGUGAUCCAGUUGGUGUUCUUUAUAUUCGUUCAUGUCGAGUAUUGAUGCUUUCUGACUGGUACACGAUGCUUUACAACCCAAGUCCAGAUUACGUUACCACAGUGCACUGUACUCAUGAAGCCGUCUACCCACUAUAUACCAUUGUAUUUAUCUAUUAUGCAUUCUGCUUGGUAUUAAUGAUGCU